CCCUUAGAUGUUCUGGGCCGCACGCGCGCUACACUGAUGCAGUCAACAAGGUUAUUUCCUGAGCUGAAAAGUUUGGGUAAUCUUUUGAAACUGCAUCGUGCUGGGGCUUGACGAUUGCAAUUAUUUGUCACAAACGAGGAAUUCCUAGUAAACGCAAGUCAUCAUCUUGCAUUGAUUACGUCCCUGCCCUUUGUACACACCGCCCGUCGCUCCUACCGAUUGAAUGUUCCGGUGAACACUUUGGAAUAGUUCUUAUGUGAGGGGAAACUCUUUGCUUGGAUACUGUGAAGUUGUGUAAACCUUAACAUUUAGAGGAAGGAGAAGUCGUAACA
rnacentral:rRNA from 1 species